GACGAACGCUGGCGGCGUGCCUAACACAUGCAAGUCGAGCGAAUGAAGUUCCUUCGGGAAUGGAUUUAGCGGCGGACGGGUGAGUAACACGUGGGCAACCUGCCUCAUAGAGGGGAAUAGCCUCCCGAAAGGGAGAUUAAUACCGCAUAAGAUUGUAGUACCGCAUGAUACAGCAAUUAAAGGAGCAAUCCGCUAUGAGAUGGGCCCGCGGCGCAUUAGCUAGUUGGUGAGGUAAUGGCUCACCAAGGCGACGAUGCGUAGCCGACCUGAGAGGGUGAUCGGCCACAUUGGGACUGAGCCACGGCCCAGACUCCUACGGGAGGCAGCAGUGGGGAAUAUUGCACAAUGGGGGAAACCCUGAUGCAGCAACGCCGCGUGAGUGAUGACGGCCUUCGGGUUGUAAAGCUCUGUCUUCAGGGACGAUAAUGACGGUACCUGAGGAGGAAGCCACGGCUAACUACGUG
rnacentral:rRNA from 1 species